UUGACCUCUAAAAUGCACGAACGAUACCUAUUCAUUUUGUCAUCGGAAAUUUCCUGAAGUUUGAAAUUGAACCGUUAUUUUCACAAGUUAUGCUGUACACAAAAAAAUAAAACACACACUCAUCAUUGUAAAAUCAAUACAUUCAUCACUUCGUUCCGAAUCUAAAAUAUACAAUCUAAAUAUAUGAUAUUAUCAUAAUAAUACGUAAUAGUUGUCGAUCAUCAAUAACAGCGGCGCAGCUUGGAAAUGCUGGCCGUAUCAAUAAUAUUAUAUUGUAUUAAAUUAAACUGUAUAGCGGUAUCGUUCAUGGUCACAUGCAGCAUCAUUGCACGUACGCUUGCCACCCGCCAGGAUGUUAUAGACAUUUGAUUGACGCACAGCGUCGCGCGGAUGACGCAAAGGCGUGGGAAGAGUAGAUGCACGUGCACUAACCACUGACCAGCAUGGACCUGCCGGUACCGCGGGAGUCCCUGGGCGAUGUGUAAGGGGGUCCCGAAUAGGCACAUUUCAGACGUGAUCCACCAGAGUUAGAGCGAGCACCUUCACGUCACUCAGUUUAAUAUUUAUGUCUCCUGGACUUGGAAUAUUUUUCAUAGUUUAAUUAAAUUAAUUAUUUUUACAAUAAAAAACACUUGGAAAUAUUUCAUCUGCGUUCAUAAUAUUUCAAUAUCUACAUCUCCCGGUUGCUCAUACGUGGCACCCUACACAUACAAAAUAGCAACGAUUUAUCAUUUGAUUCAAAUACACAAACAUACUCCAGUGACUGGAUUACCCAAAGAUGAGGAACACUCGACGCCUACUAUACAUCAGAAAGUAUAUCCGAUUUGACAUAUUAAGUUUAUUUCUAAAAACGCUUAUAUAAUUGGUAGCCCGUACUAUUUAGCUUUACAAGAGUUUGAACAAACUUUUAGGUUGUUAUUUGUUAUACUUUAAUUCUCAUAUAUCAAUUCUUUAAACAUAAUAACUAAUAGUUUUAAUGUUUUUAAAUGUCCAUUAGACACAUUAAAGAGCGUUGGUUUUUCGGAAAAAAAUUCAUUUGUCAAUUUUCUUAUUGUACAACAAUUUGAAGAUCUACCUGAAUUUCGACAACAUCUCAAAAAAUAUACAGAAAACCUAAGUCAAUCGCAAGACACUCAAAAUUAUUCUGUUAUUAUCAAUAGUAAUAUUAUUAAGCAAUAUUUCAAUUGGUGUGUAACGUCACAAGACUAUAAACCCAUUAGUCCAAAAGACUUUUGUAAACCAUUUAGU